UACUACCUUCUUUGUGUUCCCAGCCCUUUUAGUACUGUCUAUGUCUGUCAAGUGUCACUGUCAAUGGCUUCACUUGAUAAAAGAGAUUUGUGCUGACAGGACAUUCUCGGACAUGCUUCCCCAUAUUUCAUAGGCUUUAGUUUCCAAAGCAACGUCUAUUGAGUGGGACUAUGUUUCUAGGCCACAUUUUAGAUCGUAUUAUGCAGCAAAAUAAUACUUUUCAAGCAAGAAAGCCAGAACUUCUCCUCGUUCAGCACAUGAUCUAUGGAUGGUUUGAAACCCAACACUUCAUUUGUAAGAUUAAUGAAAUCUUAAAAUUUGAUAUUCCUGAAACGGAAAACAAUUUUAACAACUUGAAAGGUGCUUUUGAGUUCAUUGGACAUGGGUUGCGAUCUGAGAAGGUCCAAAUCGCAUGAAUUUUGGAUCCUCCAGAUGAAGAAACACAAUAUUUAAGGAACCCUACAAGUUUUUCAAGAAUCUUAUAAUCGACAAUCUUUCAAAAGAUGAAAUCGAUACGUUUUAAACUCGAUGUUUGUAUUUUUUACAGAGCUUUUUUUCCAAGGUCUUAACUACCAAUUGUUUGUUUUUUACCAAAUUUCGUUUAACGUAGUAGCGUUUAAGAGUAGUAGCUUCUUCGUAUUGAUUUUAUAUACUAGAUAAUAAGAUCUUAAAAUUUAAUUCUAAUAAAUGCAGAUAAAAGCACUGCGCAAUCUUAGGCAAUUGUAGAAUAAUAGUAAUUGAAACCAUAGAAAUAAAAUCUAGUGCUAAAUUAAACAAAUGUGAUUCUCUAACAAAAAAACUAUUUUAAACGGCUUUCUAAAUCAUUACAAGUAAUGCUAUGGCAAAUUAAUAAAUGGUAGUGAAACAA